rnacentral:rRNA from 1 species
UGGGGAAUCUUGCGCAAUGGGGGAAACCCUGACGCAGCGACGCCGCGUGCGGGAUGAAGGCCUUCGGGUUGUAAACCGCUUUCAGCAGGGACGAGGCCUUAUGGUUACGGUACCUGCAGAAGAAGCUCCGGCUAAAUACGUGCCAGCAGCCGCGGUAAUACGUAUGGAGCAAGCGGUAUCCGGAUUCAUUGUGCGUAAAGCGCUCGUAAGCAGUCUGUUAGGUCGGCAAGUUAAAUCCGGGGGCUCAACCCCCGUCCGCUUCCGAUACCGGAAGACUUGAGUUUGGUAGGGGAAGGUGGAAUUACUAGUGUAGCGGUGGAAUGCGCAGAUAUUAGGAAGAUCACCGGUGGCGAAGGCGUACAUCUGCGCCAUAACUGUCACUGAGGAGCGGGAGAUAGGGGAGCGAACAGG